rnacentral:rRNA from 1 species
UACGUAGGGAGCAAGCGUUGUCCGGAAUCAUUGGGCGUAAAGAGCGCGUAGGUGGCUUUAUAAGUCCGUUGUGAAAGUCAAAGGCUCAACCUUUGAAAGCCGAUGGAUACUGUGAAGCUAGAGUACGGAAGAGGCGAGUGGAAUUCCUGGUGUAGCGGUGGAAUGCGCAGAUAUCAGGAGGAACACCAAUAGCGAAGGCAGCUCGCUGGGACGUUACUGACACUGAGGCGCGAAAGCGUGGGGAGCGAACAGGA